rnacentral:rRNA from 1 species
GACGAACGCUGGCGGCGUGCUUAACACAUGCAAGUCGAACGGUGAAGGACGGAGCUUGCUCCGACCGGAUCAGUGGCGAACGGGUGAGUAACACGUGAGUAACCUGCCCCAGACUCUGGAAUAACCCCGGGAAACCGGAGCUAAUACCGGAUACGAGACGGAGAGGCAUCUCUACCGUCUGGAAAGUUUUUCGGUCUGGGAUGGACUCGCGGCCUAUCAGCUAGUUGGUGAGGUAAUGGCUCACCAAGGCGACGACGGGUAGCCGGCCUGAGAGGGCGACCGGCCACACUGGGACUGAGACACUGCCCAGACUCCUACGGGAGGCAGCAGUGGGGAAUAUUGCACAAUGGGCGAAAGCCUGAUGCAGCGACGCCGCGUGAGGGAUGACGGCCUUCGGGUUGUAAACCUCUUUCAGCAGGGAAGAAGCGAAAGUGACGGUACCUGCAGAAGAAGCACCGGCUAACUACGUGCCAGCCGCCGCGGUAAAAC